CGGCGUGGAUUAGGCAUGCAAGUCGAGCGAUCUUUUUAUGGGUCAUGCAGUUCGACGCAAGAAGAAAUGCAUGAACUGUUUUAAGAUAGCGGCAAACGGGUGAGGAACACGUGAGCAAUUUUCCCCUAAGACAGACACAGCUUCGUGAAAACGGAGGUAAUGUCUGAUAACACCGUGAUGACAUAGACAUUAUGGUUAAAGGCAGGGACCGCAAGGCCUGCCGCUUAAGGAUGAGCUCGCGUCCUAUCAGCUAGUUGGUGAGGUAAUGGCUCACCAAGGCUAAGACGGGUAGCUGGUCUGAGAGGAUGGUCAGCCACACUGGGACUGAGACACUGCCCAGACUCCUACGGGAGGCUGCAGUCGAGAAUAUUUAGCAAUGGGCGAAAGCCUGACUAUGCGACGCCGCGUGAGGGAUGAAGGUUUUCGGAUCGUAAACCUCUUUUAGCAGGAGAGAAAACUCUGCAGUAAAUAGCUGCAGGGCUGACGGUACCUGCUGAAUAAGCCACGGCCAACUCCGUGCCAGCAGCCGCGGUAAUACGGAGGUGGCGAGCGUUACUCGGAUUCAUUGGGUGUAAAGGGCAAGUAGGCGGUUUGAUAAGUGAGGGGUGAAAUCUUCCGACUCAAUCGGAAAACUGCCUUUCAUACUGUCAGACUUGAGGCAGGAAGAGGAAAAUGGAAUUCCCGGUGUAAGGGUGAAAUCUGUAGAGAUCGGGAAGAACACCAGCAGCGAAGGCGAUUUUCUGGUCCUGUUCUGACGCUGAAUUGCGAAAGCUAGGGGAGCAAACAGAAUUAGAUACUCUGGUAGUCCUAGCCGUAAACGAUGAGUACUAGGUGUUGGGCCUUCGGGUUCAGUGCCGCAGCUAACGCAUUAAGUACUCCACCUGGGGACUACGGCCGCAAGGCUAAAACUCAAAGGAAUUGACGGGGACCCGCACAAGCGGUGGAACAUGUGGUUCAAUUCGAUGCUACGCGAAGAACCUCACCAGGGCUUGACAUGUAUGAAGUAGCGAACUGAAAGGGGAGCGACCCGUCAAGCCGGGAACUUACACAGGUGCUGCAUGGCUGUCGUCAGCUCGUGUCGUGAGAUGUUGGGUUAAGUCCCGCAACGAGCGCAACCAUUAUCUUCUGUUGCCACCCUGUAAUGCCGUAAGGCAUUAUGGGAGCACUCUGAAGAGACUGCCUGGGAUAACCAGGAGGAAGGUGGAGAUGACGUCAAGUCAGUACGGCCUUUAUGCCCUGGGCUACACACGUGUUACAAUGGUCGGCACAAUGAGUUGCCAGCCCGCGAGGGGGAGCUAACCUCCAAAGCCGGCCUCAGUUCAGAUUGAAGUCUGCAAUUCGACUCCAUGAAGCUGGAAUCGCUAGUAACGGCAGAUCAGCACGCUGCCGUGAAUACGUUCCCGGGUCUUGUACACACCGCCCGUCAAGCGAUGGAAGCCGGGGGUACCCGAAGUCCUACGUAGGUAGGCCGAAGGUAAAACUGGUGACUGGCGCUAAGUCGUAACAAGGUA
rnacentral:rRNA from 1 species